UACGGGGGGAGCAAGCGUUGUUCGGAUUUACUGGGCGUAAAGGGCGCGUAGGCGGCCACCGCGAGUCGACUGUGAAAUCUCCGGGCUUAACUCGGAAAGGUCAGCCGAUACUGCGGGGCUAGAGUGCAGAAGGGGCAACUGGAAUUCUCGGUGUAGCGGUGAAAUGCGUAGAUAUCGAGAGGAACACCUGCGGCGAAGGCGGGUUGCUGGGCUGACACUGACGCUGAUUGUGCGAAAGCGUGGGGAGCGAACGGG
rnacentral:rRNA from 1 species